CCUACGGGUGGCUGCAGUGGGGAAUAUUGGACAAUGGGCGAAAGCCUGAUCCAGCCAUGCCGCGUGUGUGAAGAAGGCCUUCGGGUUGUAAAGCACUUUCAGUGGGGAAGAAAGCCUUGGGGCUAAUACCCUCGAGGAAGGACAUCACCCACAGAAGAAGCACCGGCUAACUCCGUGCCAGCAGCCGCGGUAAUACGGAGGGUGCGAGCGUUAAUCGGAAUUACUGGGCGUAAAGCGCGCGUAGGCGGUCUGAUAAGCCGGUUGUGAAAGCCCCGGGCUCAACCUGGGAACGGCAUCCGGAACUGGCAGGCUAGAGUGCAGGAGAGGAAGGUAGAAUUCCCGGUGUAGCGGUGAAAUGCGUAGAGAUCGGGAGGAAUACCAGUGGCGAAGGCGGCCUUCUGGACUGACACUGACGCUGAGGUGCGAAAGCGUGGGUAGCAAACAGGAUUAGAUACCCUUGUAGUC
rnacentral:rRNA from 1 species